GGCGCUACGGGCCCAGCCACCGCGCUCCAGGGCCGCGUGGGCUCCGCUCCUGUGACGGACAUGCGGGGGCGCUGCGGGGCGCGGGCUGGGGGCGCGGGCCGGGGACACAGUCUGGGGGCGCUGCAGCCACAAACUCCAAUCUCCGCCUUCUUAGAGCAGAGAGGCCAUUCCUCUCCAUGUGGUCUCACCUCCGUGCACCCUAACUGAAGUCUGGGAGUGAGGGGAAUGAGGAGCUCAGGUCAUGUGCCUCCCGUCUCUCAAGGAUGGCAGCCUUGCGCUGGCUGUAGCAGAAUACCGGAAAAGAUCUGCCUAAGGCCAUAUUAUUUCAUUUCCACUCCACAAAUCCAACAUAGUUAAUUGGUUUGAUAUUAAUGAACCUGCACAGCUAAAACACAGAAAUAUAAUAACUACUGUUGAUCGAUCUUGCAGCCCCGUCACGAAGGGCCCUUGUAACUGGACCUCAUGCCAAACAACUCGUUACAAAAAGAGCUAGGGUCUCAGACUGCGCGGAAGCUUCAUGAGACCCCCUCCUUGUCUGCAUGGACGAGUGGUCGACUCUGGAUCCCAGAAUGUUGCUUCCCAGUUUGGUGGUGAAUCCUCCACAGUCUGGUGAGUUAUAUCAUUUACAGCAGAUGUUCCUGACUCAGGAUAAAAUGUAACUGGCAGCCAGAGUCACCCACCAGCUCCUGAGGAAAGGGCUCAACCUUGAGAACAUCUGGCUGGCUUCAAAAAAUCACACAAAUACAAGAUGAUGCUGAGGAUAAGACAAGUGGUUUUGAGAGAGGAAAACCUUUAAAAAUAUUUGGAAGAGUCCUCAAGACCAAUAAAAUAAAGACACUGAAAUACUUGAUGGACACCAGAGAGCAAUUUAACACUGAAAUGAAAGCAACAUGUUGCACCUGAACAUUGAAAAAAGCCCACGUGUUAAGAGGAAGAAGAAAUAUGCAAUUCACUGCAAUAAAUAUUGAAUCUUUAAAAAACAGAAGGAACGUGAAAACUAAAGGACACUGGGCCACAGCAAAUAAGGUGGCGGCAGCUAUCCCAUAAUCAUUCCAUGAUCUCCAUGAUUGUAAAGUGUAUAUGCCACCUGAAUUUAUUCUUAGACCUUCUCUCAAAGAUGUCUGCAUUCAACACAGGCAAUAACUGCAGGUAAUAGUAAAGAAUGCUUCAGGCAUUAUAGAGGAACAGACUAAGUGUGGGAAAAGGAAGAACUAGUCAAAAUUGCUAAUAAGGCUGGGUGCAGUGGCUCAUGCCUGUAAUCCCAGCACUUUGGGAGGCUGAGGCAGGCCGAUCACCUAAGGUCAGGAUUUUGAGACCAGCCUGACCGAUAGGAUGAAACCCCAUCUCUACCCAAAAUACAAAAAUUAGCUGGGCGUGGUGGCAUAUGCCUAUAGUCCCAGUGACUCGGGAGGGUGAAGCAGGAGAAUCGCUUGAACCCAGGAGGUGGAGGUUGCAGUGAGCCGAGAUCAUGCCCAUUGCACUCCAGCCUGGGCAACAGAGCAAGACUCCAUCUCAAAAACAACAACAACAACAACAACAAAAACUGCUAAUAAACAUUUUAACAAGAAUAUUUCAGGAAGUGAAUGAGUUGUGUUCAUCUUCAAAUGUGUGAAAAAUUAUUCAGUGAAAAGAUGGGCAGCUUAGUCUUCUGUUGCUCUAGACACUAUCACCAGGAGCAUUGGGUAGAAAUAGUAAAACAAUCAGAGCAGUACCUACAGGGAAUGUGUAUUCUGCAGUCAACAUAAUUGUUGGAGUUGUUAGAGAGGUUACUAGUGUGUGGAGAGAAGUAUGACGGAAGUCCAGUAAUGAAGAGUUUUGUUUUGUUUUAGCAGAGAUGACUAAGUGAUAAGAAAUUCAUUUGAUGCCUGUGUAAUGGGGCAUUUUGCUAUAAUGUAAGCUGUUAUAAUCAGAUUUUUCUUGUUCGUAAAUUGGCAAAGCAUCAUAUUGGAUAUCUUAGAUUACUGACAUCUUAAAAAAAUAAUCAGCCUAAUAUUUUUAAAUGCGUUUCUUUUUGAGUUUACUUUUAGUUGAAUUUUGAGAUUUGUUUCAAUCAUUAUUGGAAUUUUGUAGAUGUCUUCUCAUUUCCCUAGGGAAUGCCUUUGUGUCCAAGAACAAGAAACAUAACCAAUAAAGAACGAUACACCCCU